UACGUAGGGAGCAAGCGUUGUCCGGAAUCAUUGGACGUAAAGCGCGCGUAGGCGGCCCUGUAAGUCCGCUGUGAAAGUCAAUGGCUCAACCUUUGAAAGCCGGUGGAUACUGCAGGGCUAGAGUCCGGAAGAGGCGAGUGGAAUUCCUGGUGUAGCGGUGGAAUGCGCAGAUAUCAGGAGGAACACCAAUAGCGAAGGCAGCUCGCUGGGACGGUACUGACGCUAAGGCGCGAAAGCGUGGGGAGCGAUCCGG
rnacentral:rRNA from 1 species